rnacentral:rRNA from 1 species
AGGACGAACGCUGGCGGCGUGCCUAACACAUGCAAGUUGAGCGACGAACCGGGGCUUGCCCCGGGGCAAAGCAGCGAACGGGUGAGUAACACGUGGAUAACGUACCCCGAUAACCGGGACAACCCGAGGAAACUCGAGCUAAUACCGGAUGUGCCCAUCACACACCAGUGUGAUGUGUAAAGGAAGCUUCGGCCUCCGUAUCGGGAGCGGUCCGCGGCCCAUUAGCUAGUUGGUGAGGUAACGGCUCACCAAGGCAACGAUGGGUAGCUGGUCUGAGAGGACGAUCAGCCACACUGGGACUGAGACACGGCCCAGACUCCUACGGGAGGCAGCAGUGGGGAAUAUUGCGCAAUGGGCGGAAGCCUGACGCAGCGACGCCGCGUGGGGGAUGACGGCCUUCGGUUGUAACCUCUUUCGCCAGGGACGAAGAGAAUUGACGGUACCUGGAUAAGAAGCACCGGCCAACUACGUGCCAGCAGCCGC